UAACAUUUUCGGGGCAAGGCGAAAUUCCUUACCGAUGGUAAUAGUCCAUGAACCUUAAUUGGUUGAUUCAGUGAAAUUCUGAAACCGACGGUAUAGUCCGGAUGGUAGAAAAUGUCA
rnacentral:ncRNA from 14 species